rnacentral:misc_RNA from 1 species
CCAAACAAAUAGUACCUUCUUUGCUAAAUCAGUACCAUCCUUUGCCAGUCCCAAGACAACCGGUAAAUAUUCUUCAAGUGCGCGCAGAAGAUCGGCCAAAGAAGAACCCCCAUGUUGAGUAGCCGCCUUCCGUCUUGGCCUUAUCGCAGCCGGUGCCUCUUGUGCAGCCAUGACCACCAUUCGAGUUCUCAGAGCCGAGAGGCGCUCCACUGAACUCUUAGACAAGCUGUCACCUAACAUCACAGAGAAGUCUACACUUUUCGGAAUGCGUAAUCCGGGCACAAACACCGCAACCUCCCCCACAUUUUUCGGUCUUCUUCUAUUUGCAGCUGUAUCUGUAGGGGUAGAUACCAGGCAUCCCAUGUCCUGGACCUUUUAUUCUCAACUUUUCUGUGCCCUGCCCACCACAAUCUGAACUGUGCGCUGCGAACGUACAAAUCUAGUCUCUUUCCGUACCCUGCUCACCACAAUCUGAUCGGCCCGACACCGUCACCACAAUCUGAUCACCCGACACCGUCCGAAUCUCGGUCUAUAGGGAAAUUGGAGGACUCCGAUCAGAGAUGAGGAUGCUGACGUGGCAUGGGGCGGCGGAGCGCCGCCGUGAGAUUGGGUCCGGUCGCCGGCGGCGAUUGGCGGGGUGGGAGGUUGGCGGCGGCGAUGGACGGGGGUAACCCUAGAAAAGGGGGAUUCGGGGAGGUAGUGAGCUGGGGGAGACGGAGACGGG